rnacentral:lncRNA from 1 species
CUCUGCCUGGGCACUUCUCUCACUCCUUAUUCCCUCUGGGGAAUUUCAUACAUUCCCGUGGCAUCAGCUAUGUACCUACAUGAGUAAGAUCCCCAAAUCUAUCCUGUGGUGCAGACCUCUCUCCAAAGCACCACACUCACAUACACAGCUGGCCCGUGGACAUAGAAUUGGUUGCAGAUUUCGCAGGCAUCUCAAACUCAUAUUUUAAAAGUAAGCUAAGCUUUCUUGCACUGUCUGUCCCCAGUCUGCCACUCCUCCCGUAUUCCCUAUCUCAGUGAAUGGUAGCAUCAUUUGCCAGUUGUCACAUGAGAACCUGGUUAGGUUUGAAGCCAUCUUGCACUCCUCUCCUUCUCCAUCCAAAUAAUCAUCAGCUUCUGCCUACUUUGCCUCUAAAUAUCACUUGGAUUCACCCAAUUCUCUUCAUUCUCGUUGCCACUACCCUAUAUCAGACCCAUUAUAACUUAUAUUUAUUCCGACAAAAAUGAGGAUAUUUUGUAUAUAUUUUGGUUAAAUAAAAUAUAUUAUUAAAAUUAGCUCUGUCUGGUUUUCCCUGUUCUCAAUGCGGCUGCCAGGAAAUUUAAACUUAUAUAUAUGUCUCAUAUUUCUACUGGACAAUAUUGACCUAUAUACACUCAGACUAACUCUCAAGCUUCUUUUUACUUGAACUUUACUUUUAAGUUCUACUCAGUUUAGAGAGUAUCAACAUUCAAUUAAUUCGCAGUGUGGUUUUGAGUUAGCUGGCCUAAUACUAGUUAAAACAUUAUAUCUCUCUCUUUCCUUCCUUCUUUCCUUCCUUCCUUCCUUCCUUCCUUCCUUCCUUCCUUCCUUCCUUCCUUCCUUCCUUCCUUCCUCCCUUUACAAAUAAAAACGACUCUGUCCACUCAUAUUCUUCUCCGUGUUAUAAUAUAAUUCAGGUAGUUUUUAUCAUAUGAUGUAAUGAUUUCAUUACAUGUCUGUUUUUCCAUUAUACUGUGAACUCUUAGUCUCUUAGUAACAGGAGCCAUGUCUUAAUCUUCUUUGCAUUCCCAGAGUCCAGCACCGUGCAUAGUAGCACCCAUACAUAUACAUGGUUUGAGGGUAUGAUUCUAAACAAGGCCCUAAAACUUGAGUUCCUUCUGCCUAUUUUAGGUAAGACACUGUUAUACAUUACUCUCUCAGAGCCAAUAUUUCUUCUUUGAAAUGGAAACUGUUUUUUACUUAUAAAAGUAAUACAUGACAACUUUCAAAUAAUGCAGAAGCAUAUAAAACAGAAAAUGAACAAAAAGAACAUGGCACUCCUCUGGGAAAGCCCAGGGUCAGAACUAUGAACUUAAUACAGUUCAGCGUCACUGGCUUACUCUACUCUAGGGGGCAGGCUUGAGCUGACGUUGGGACAGAUAAUGCUGGACGCCGAGAAGUGUGUAUUUGAUGACAAAACCACUACCUUUACUUUCAAAUAGAGAGAACUAUAGCAUUUCUUAUCAAAACCCUUGGAGGUUGAAUUAAACAAAAUAAAUAGUGGGUAAUUUUUAUGACAUAAUAUAUCUAAAGGUACAUGUUCAUGAAGGAAGGUGACACACUAUGGGGCACGAAAGGAAAAAGAGGGCUUAAUAUACUGCGCAGAUGAUUUGCAUUUGGUACAAUCAGAAUUUUUAAACUGGUGAGGAGGGACUGUAAAUUCUAAUUUUCUCUGUCUUUGGAGUUUUAAAUAUACUACUCUAACUUUGGAUUAUAUAUUUCUAUUUCAGCUAAAUUUCUGCUGUAGCUUUGCAGCCAGUUACCACGUUAAUUGGCUGAGCACAGUUGUGACCCAUCUACACAUAUGGGGUGUGAGGCAAAAAAACAAUAGUGAAUGGGAACCCUUGUGCAUUGUCGAUAGGAAUGCAAAUUGGUGAAGCCACUAUGGAAAGCAGUAUGCAGAUGACUCAAAAAA